rnacentral:rRNA from 1 species
UACGUAGGGUGCGAGCGUUAAUCGGAAUUACUGGGCGUAAAGCGUGCGCAGGCGGUCUGUUAAGACAGAUGUGAAAUCCCCGGGCUUAACCUGGGAACUGCAUUUGUGACUGGCAGGCUAGAGUAUGGCAGAGGGGGGUAGAAUUCCACGUGUAGCAGUGAAAUGCGUAGAGAUGUGGAGGAACACCGAUGGCGAAGGCAGCUCGCUGGGACGAUACUGACGCUGAGACGCGAAAGCGUGGGGAGCAAACAGG